UACGUAGGUGGCAAGCGUUGUCCGGAAUUAUUGGGCGUAAAGCGCGCGCAGGCGGUCUCUUAAGUCUGAUGUGAAAGCCUCCGGCUCAACCGGGGAGGGUCAUUGGAAACUGGGAGACUUGAGUACAGCAGAGGAGAGUGGAAUUCCACGUGUAGCGGUGAAAUGCGUAGAUAUGUGGUGGAACACCAGUGGCGAAGGCGACUCGCUGGUCUGUAACUGACGCUGAGGCGCGAAAGCGUGGGCAGCAAACAGG
rnacentral:misc_RNA from 1 species